rnacentral:lncRNA from 1 species
UGAUUUACAGUAUGUUAAACUAUUUUAUCUGUCUCUAUUUACUCAGCUUUAGAUAUUUUAGAUGGUAUUUGUUUACUCACUGAGAUUUUAUAAUCUCACCACCCUCCUUUCCACCCAUUUCAGGCUGAGUAUAGGCUGUAGAUAGCUGAUAUCGUCGAAGGCUACAGUUGGCUUUACUUCCUCCAAAACUGUAGGUUUGCAGC